AUCUCAUCACUUUCCGACCGGCUCUACCACUUACUUGAACUACUUGACCACCGCAACCACCGGCACAGCCCAUCCAUUCGUAGGACGUUGAUGAUGAAUCCGAUCAAGAUUCUCUGGUCUCUCGCUUUCAACGCUACCUCAGAAUCUAAACCGCACAUCCAGAUCCCGAUUACGCCUCCGCCGUCGCCUUCCUCAGAUCUUAAGAACAAGAAAUCGGUCUCCAUAUGCAGGCACUCGAGUUCGGUCCAGGUAAGCCUCUUCUUCUUGUGACUUGGUAUGGAUCAUACACAGGCACAGAAGUCGCCUCCGCUAAUCCUCCAUCUCCCAGACCUGUAGCAGCCAACCGCGCGCAGCCAUCUGAGCCGAUUGUUGUGACGAAGGUGGAUACUGAAAUACAGGGGGUGCGGAAGGUGGAGGAGGUUAGCGAUAGUGAUGGCGAUGGCGAUGUAGAGAGUGCCGAUGGCGGUAAGGUUGGGCGAGGACGGAAGUUGAUGGAUAGUUUAUCGAUUAAGAAAAUUAAGGAGGAAUUGAGGAAGAAGAUCUUGUUAGGGUUUAGAAUUUGUGGAUUUGCCUUCUGUUUGGUCUCGGUUUCGGCUAUGGCUUCUGAUAAGGAUCAGGGCUGGGCUUUGGAUUCAUUCUAUCGCUAUAAGGAAUUCCGGUAAUCAAUUCGUUCAAUGAAACCAUUUCUUCCUAUUGAAAUUUCUUAUGCAAUUUCCUUCUAACUUCAAUUGAAUUGGAUAUUCUAAAAUUGAUUCAAUUUGGGAAUUUCAUUAAAUUUGUAGGUACUGUAUGGCAGUGAAUGUUAUUGGAUUUGUUUACUCUGCACUUCAAUCCUAUGAUCUUGUCUAUUUUCUCUCUACUGGAAAACACAUGAUCCGUAAUCACUUCAAGCAAUACUUCGAUUUCUUCAUUGAUCAGGCAAGUUUCUAUUUUGGCUUGAAAUUGGGUUUCUGAAUCUCAAUCUUUUUCAUUAUUAAUUCUAUGACAAUCUCAGUACCUAACCCAAAAUACAUCACACUCAACACAUUGGAUGGCUAAGAUUAGGCCAAUAGUUUAGUCCUGAAUUUAGAUGACAUUAUUGUGUACCGAUUAUGAUAGCUUAUAGGACCGCAUUAUUUAAGACAUUCACAAUGUUCUAUCAAUAGGAUUUAAGACAUUAUUUAAGACAUUACAAGGAUGUUUUUUCUUUUUUAUUCCCUGUCCUGCAGUUCAUCUUGGCGGCCCUCGUUUAAUAACCAAGUUUUUACUUCAUAUUACGACCUCAAUGACUCAUUUAUUAUACUUUCGGGCUAGUUUUGUUCUAAUGUUUUGGGUGCCUCUUGGUUAACUAAUGAUCUCGGAUUUAUUAGCCAAGACAGGAAUCUCUAGUCUAAAGAGGUUUAGAGCAAAAGCAACAAAAGAAACCGUUAAAUGGCUAAUUUGGACACUAUAAUGAGAGGCAGCUGUAGCUUAUUUUCUUUUGCUCUACAACAUUCCAACGAGAUCCCACACUUGUCAUCAAAGUAUUCCUGAUUGAAAAAGGUCUUGAGGGAAUAUACUUGGUUUCAGCAACAAAAACAGGUUGUCUAACAGUACACGACUUUGAGAGUCUUUAUUUGCAGACUAUUGAAACAGGUGACUAUUGUACUUCAUGUUCUGUUCUUCAGUUAGUUUGUCUACGUUUCUUUUCUUUUUGUUCUAUGCUUCAUAGGAAAAAUAGUAUGCAUGUUUUUACAUAGUACAUAUAUAUCUCUGAACAGAGAACAUUUGAGUAUUUUGAUUGCUAAAGUACCUUCCUUCUACUAAUAGGCUUAAGUGAAGAUGAGAACAAACAAUUACUGCACCUUUCCCUAAAUGAACAGCUCGACUUUGUACGGUGGAAUCCUGCCAACCAAGAUGAGGUUCUUGCUCAAUUCAUUUCCUUGUAAUUAUGUGAAUACAAUUUUUACUCAAUACAUGGCUAUGGUAGUUCAAUGAAUAUUCUAAAUAAUUGGUUGUUAUUCUAAUGCCAAGAUCAAUUUCCUAGUUGUUUCCUUGCUUGAUGUAAUUACAAAAGGAUUUGUGUGAAGCAAUCUAGUUUGAUGCUGUGAACUAUUAAAGAUCACAAAAGAAUUAUAUAUUCUGAAUUCUAAAAUAUAGAACUUACCUAUAAAAGAUCACAUUGAAGUGUUAAGACCCUUGUAAUGCGUGGGGACUAUGAAAGAGCCAACGAAAUCUUACCUUCAAUUCCCAAGGAGCAUCGUAACAGUGUGGCCCAUUUCUUGGAAGCACGAGGUAUGAUAGAGGAAGCCCUGGAAGUAGCUACUGAUCCAGAGGAGUAUCCUAAUUUAUUUAAUGAUUGGCAAGUUGCACUUUCUGUUGAAUCUAGAGCUGCACAAGACAGGGAGUUAUCACUAAACAAAUGACUGCAAUAGAAGAAAUGGUUGCAAGUGAGUAAAAUUAGCCAGACCCUCAUCUUUGUGACAAGAUCUUGAAGUUAGUCAUUUGUGAAGCGUUCUAGUUUUCUAUUAGUUGCAGUUUUAGUUAUUGCUCUCUCAAUAUAUUCUUUUUCUUUUUUUUUUCAAAGGAUGAUCAGUGUAAUAAUUAAGCUUCAUAAUUUCUGUGUUUGGAUCCAAGUUGUAUAUAAAUGUACACAUUAUUAAGAUUUCAUUUUGUAUAUGUACAAGUAAAAGAUUUCAUUUUUAA